rnacentral:pre_miRNA from 1 species
ACCCUGUAGAUCCGAAUUUGUGUGAAUAUACAGUCGCAAAUUCGUGUCUUGGGGAAU